rnacentral:rRNA from 1 species
CAAUGGGGGUACGAGAAGGCAGCUACACAGCGAUGUGAUGCUAAUCCAAAAGCCUCUCUCAGUUCGGAUUGGAGUCUGCAACCCGACUCCAUGAAGCUGGAUUCGCUAGUAAUCGCGCAUCAGCCACGGCGCGGUGAAUACGUUCCCGGCCUUGUACACACCGCCCGUCAAGCCAUGAAAGCCGGGGGUACCUGAAGUCCGUAACCGUAAGGAGCGGCCUAGGGUAAAACUGGUAAUUGGGGCUAAGUCGUAACAAGGUACC